GUUCAAAGCAGGCAGAUCCAAUUUUCUGCCACCGAAUACAUUAGCAUGGGAUAAUGGAAUAGGACCCUGUCCUCCUAUUUUCAGUUGGUUUUGGCAGCGCGAGGACUAGGGUAAUGAUUAAUAGGGAUAGUUGGGGGCAUUAAUAUUUAAUUGUCAGAGGUGAAAUUCUUGGAUUUAUGAAAGAUUAACUUCUGCGAAAGCAUCUGCCAAGGAUGUUUUCAUUAAUCAAGAACGAAAGUUAGGGGAUCGAAGACGAUCAGAUACCGUCGUAGUCUUAACCAUAAACGAUGCCGACCAGCGAUUAGGAGACGUUGAAUACAUGACACCACCAUCGGUUGCGGUCGUCCUUGGCGUCUCGGUUCGGCCGGGGCGCCGGGGACG
rnacentral:rRNA from 1 species